CGGUCAUAGAAAUAAUCCCGUGGGUGAAAUUCCGCCAAAAUCGGAUGAUGGGGAGAGAAAGUGAAGAGAAAACAUGCCACUCCGAGGAUACCAAUCUUCACGUUUUGUUUCAUGAGGAAAAUGACUAAAGGUUUCUUACAACAGAUGGAGGGUCUUACCCAAGGGCCUGGAUGACGGAAAACUCCAGAGAAGGGACCUUGAAUUUCUCUCCAUUACCCCUAAUCACAGAAGAUGAAGAGCCUCACUUCAGGAUCUGUAUAGCAGAGGAGGACGUGUAAGCUGUAAGGCGUU